CAAUAGCGUAUAUUAAAGUUGUUGCGGUUAAAAAGCUCGUAGUUGGAUUUCUGCUGAGAACGACCGGUCCGCCCUCUGGGUGUGUAUCUGGCUCUUUCUUGGCAUCUUCUUGGUGAACGUUGCUGCACUUGACUGUGUGGAGCGCUACCCAGGACUUUUACUUUGAGGAAAUUAGAGUGUUUCAAGCAGGCAUACGCCUUGAAUACAUUAGCAUGGAAUAAUAAGAUAGGACCUCGGUUCUAUUUUGUUGGUUUCUAGAGCUGAGGUAAUGAUUAAUAGGGAUAGUUGGGGGCAUUCGUAUUUAACUGUCAGAGGUGAAAUUCUUGGAUUUGUUAAAGACGGACUACUGCGAANGNAUUUGCNAAGGAUGUCUNCAUUG
rnacentral:rRNA from 1 species